UUGGUGCAGGUGGAGUUGGAGUGAGUUAUCAUGAAAAUGAUCAUAGUUUAUGUGUUACCCAACCUCCAUUUGCCGCCGCAUCCUAGUAAUAUCUACGUAGACAGAGUAAUAAUAAUAAUAAUAAUAAUAAUAAUAAUAAUAAUAAUAAUAUUUAGACAUGGCCACCACCAGGAGGAGCAUUGGCAUGUUCUCUCCGGAAUUGCACAUGCAACAGAGAAUCCCCUACACGGCCAUGUGGCCAUGAAGAAAACUGAGAGUUGUUAUCUAUAAAACACCGCCUCUCUGUCCUCCUCUUAAAAGCCUCUGGCUGGCUCUCCCAGCAAAGUCAGCAAAUUCUACAACUACAAGCAUAUUCUGGGGUUCCCGUUUUCUCUCGGAAAAUGUGUAUGCCUACUUCCGUGGCUUUGAUGUGGAUUCUGGCACUCUUGUGGUGCUCGGGAUUGGGGGCACGGGGAGAAUACAUGAUGAAAUACAAAGACCCUAAACAGCCCCUGAAUGCGCGAAUCAAGGACCUCAUGAACCGAAUGACUUUGAAGGAGAAGAUUGGCCAAAUGGUGCAGAUUGAGCGCAGUGUUGCAUCUGCCAAGCUCAUGAAGCACCACUUCAUUGGGAGUGUGUUGAGUGGCGGUGGGAGUGGACCGGCCAAAAGGGCUUCCCCCAAGAAGUGGAUCAAAAUGGUGAAUGAAUUCCAGAAGGGUUCGCUAUCAACCCGUCUCGGCAUCCCGAUGAUUUAUGGGAUUGAUGCCAUUCACGGCCACAAUAAUGUUUACAAGUCCACAAUUUUCCCUCACAACAUUGGGCUUGGAGCAACAAGGGACCCGGAACUAGUGAAGCGAAUUGGAGCUGCAACUGCUCUGGAAGUUAGAGCUACAGGAAUCAAUUAUGUCUUUGCGCCCUGUAUUGCGGUUUGUAGAGAUCCAAGAUGGGGACGGUGCUAUGAGAGCUAUAGUGAAGAUCACAAGAUUGUUCAAGCAAUGACCGAGAUUAUAGCAGGAUUACAAGGGGAUAUUCCUCCCAAUUCUAGGAAAGGGGUCCCCUUCGUCGCUGGCAAAACAAAGGUUGCAGCAUGUGCCAAACACUACGUGGGGGACGGGGGCACGAGGAAGGGCAUCAAUGCAGAUGACACCAAAUUAAGCUGGCAUGGUUUGCUGAGCACCCACAUGCCACCAUACUACAACUCUAUUAUCAAGGGCGUGGCCACCAUCAUGGUGUCCUACUCCAGCUUCAAUGGCCGCAAGAUGCAUGCCAACCCACUUCUCAUCACUAGCUUCCUCAAGCACACCCUCCAUUUCAGAGGUUUUGUCAUCUCAGAUAUGGAGGGUAUUGAUUGGAUCACGUCUCCUCCUCAUGCUAAUUAUUCAUAUUCAAUCCAAGCUGGAAUUCUAUCUGGGAUUGACAUGGUCAUGGUUCCUUUCAACUAUACUGAAUUUAUUGAUGAUCUAACCCGCAUGGUAAGGAAGAGGAUCAUUCCCAUUAGCCGAAUCAACGACGCAGUGAGAAGGAUUCUGAGGGUGAAGUUUGUGAUGGGUCUUUUUGAGAACCCUUUUGCUGAUCACAAUCUUGUACAUCAGCUAGGAAGUCAGGAGCACAGAAACUUAGCCAGAGAAGCAGUGAGAAAAUCUCUUGUGCUGUUAAAAAAUGGUAAUUCAGCGGACAAGCCACUGCUACCCCUUCACAAGAAGGUGCCAAAAAUACUUGUUGCUGGAAGCCAUGCAGACAAUCUAGGUUACCAAUGCGGGGGUUGGACAAUCGAGUGGCAAGGACUUAGUGGCAAUAACCUCACAGCAGGCACAACAAUCCUCUCUGCCAUAAAGGGUACGGUUGACCCAACAACUAAAGUCUUCUACAAGAAGAACCCGAGUUCUCACUUUGUCAACUCUGCUAAAUUAUCGUAUGCCGUUGUUGUGGUAGGAGAACAUCCUUAUGCAGAGACAUAUGGUGACAGCCGAAAUUUGACAAUCCCUCACCCCGGUCCAAGCACAAUUAGAAAUGUUUGUGGAUCUGUGAAAUGUGUUGUCAUCAUUGUUUCAGGCCGCCCAGUUGUUAUUCAACCGUAUCUUGCCGAAAUAGAUGCACUCAUUGCUGCUUGGCUUCCAGGUUCUGAAGGCCAAGGAGUUGCUGACGUUUUGUUUGGUGACCAUGGUUUUACUGGCAAACUGCCGAUCAGCUGGUUCAAGACUGUCGACCAACUCCCAAUGAAUGUUGGGGACAUAGAUUAUGAUCCUCUCUUCCCAUUAGGAUUUGGACUCACCACGGAACCCACCAAGGCACACUAGAAGUACUCCAUGGAGGAUUCUGAAGUCAACACUACCUGCUGUUUAAAUCUUAUUUUAUCAUCUCUCACAUUUUCUACACACAGGGCACAACAGCAAUAUUCACAUAGCUAGAGAAGAAUAUACACAUUUAUACUUUCAAAGUUGUACUGUCCCAAUGCUCUGUAGGCCUUCAUUCAUUACAUAUGGAGCAUGUUCUAUUCAGAGCAGCACUCUUGAUUUGUUACCAUGGUCUGGGAAUAAAAAGCUAACAAAUUCCCUCAUGAAGGUGCAAUCAGAAGAACAAAAAUAUAUUUAUUUGCUGAUGUUAAGGAUAAAGGAAAGUGUGUAACUGAUGCCUAACAUGAGGGCAGAUAAUUCAUGGGAAGUCUAUCAGCAAAUACAAUUUAUGAAUGCCCUGCCCUUCUUCAUCAGUUUAAGCAAUGAAGUAAUCAUAAGGUGCAAUCUAACAUCAGCUAGCUACUUACCCUCGUUAC